rnacentral:rRNA from 1 species
UACGUAGGGCGCAAGCGUUGUCCGGAAUUAUUGGGCGUAAAGAGCUCGUAGGCGGUUUGUCGCGUCUGCUGUGAAAACUCGAGGCUCAACCUCGGGCUUGCAGUGGGUACGGGGCAGACUAGAGUGCGGUAGGGGAGACUGGAAUUCCUGGUGUAGCGGUGGAAUGCGCAGAUAUCAGGAGGAACACCGAUGGCGAAGGCAGGUCUCUGGGCCGCAACUGACGCUGAGGAGCGGAAAGCAUGGGGAGCGAACAGG